rnacentral:rRNA from 1 species
CCUACGGGUGGCAGCAGUGGGGAAUAUUGGACAAUGGGCGAAAGCCUGAUCCAGCCAUGCCGCGUGUGUGAAGAAGGCCUUCGGGUUGUAAAGCACUUUCAGUGGGGAAGAAAGCCUUGGGGCUAAUACCCUCGAGGAACGACAUCACCCACAGAAGAAGCACCGGCUAACUCCGUGCCAGCAGCCGCGGUAAUACGGAGGGUGCGAGCGUUAAUCGGAAUUACUGGGCGUAAAGCGCGCGUAGGCGGUCUGAUAAGCCGGUUGUGAAAGCCCCGGGCUCAACCUGGGAACGGCAUCCGGAACUGUCAGGCUAGAGUGCAGGAGAGGAAGGUAGAAUUUCCGGUGUAGCGGUGAAAUGCGUAGAGAUCGGGAGGAAUACCAGUGGCGAAGGCGGCCUUCUGGACUGACACUGACGCUGAGGUGCGAAAGCGUGGGUAGCAAACAGGAUUAGAUACCCGAGUAGUC